AUUGAACGCUGGCGGCAGGCUUAACACAUGCAAGUCGAACGGUAACAGGGAGGAAGCUUGCUUUCUUUGCUGACGAGUGGCGGACGGGUGAGUAAUGCUUGGGAAUCUGGCCUAUGGAGGGGGAUAACUACGGGAAACUGUAGCUAAUACCGCGUAGAAUCGAAAGAUGAAAGUGUGGGACCGUAAGGCCACAUGCCAUGGGAUGAGCCCCAAGUGGGAUUAGGUAGUUGGUGGGGUAAAGGCCUACAGCGACGAUCUCUAGCUGGUCUGAGAGGAUGACCAGCCACACUGGAACUGAGACACGGUCCAGACUCCUACGGGAGGCAGCAGUGGGGAAGUAUUGCACAAUGGGGGAACCCGUGAUGCAGCCAUGCCGCGUGAAUGAAGAAGGCCUUCGGUU
rnacentral:rRNA from 1 species